AUUCCAGAGAGUCCUGCUUCCUUCUCUGGAGGAAGCAACCCUGCACAGAGGGAAAGAAGAAUCUCAACAUACAGUCCUCAGCAGCUUUAGCAUGGGCAACAAAUUAAGUCUCUGUAAAAGGCCCAAAGGACAGGGUUUGGUGAGAUUCUGGAGAGCUGGAAACAUGGAGGUUGACAGGAAUGUAAAGAAGAACUCAUUUACAUGCCAGGAGGGUGGAACACCCCAAUUCCAUGAGGAUAACUGCUCCUGUACUCCAGACCUCACCCCAUGUGUCUCUUCAUCUGGCUGGUUAUUUGUCCUUUAAGAUCUCCUUACUCAACCAGUAAAUGUGUCUUUACAUUGUUUUAGUCUUGAACUAGAAGAUGAAAGCAUCAAAUAAAGAAAUAUACUGUGGGUAUAUGGAUUACAAAAAAAGGUACUCUUAUAAGGAAUAGAGGAGAAGAGAAAAGAAGAGAAGACAAGAGAAGAGAAAGAGAAGAUUGCAAGAAGGGAAGACAAGAGAAGAGAAAGAGAAAGAGAAGAAGACAAGAGAAGAGAAAGAGAAAGAGAAGAUGCGAAAUAGACGCAUGCAUUUAUUGAAUUUUAAUUUAUGACAGAAGUAGCAUAGUCAA
rnacentral:lncRNA from 10 species